GUUAGUGGCGGACGGGUGAGUAACGCGUGAGUAACCUGCCCUUGAGAGGGGGAUAACGUCUGGAAACGGACGCUAAUACCGCAUAAAAUUAUCCAGUCGCAUGGCAGGAUAAUCAAAGGAGCAAUCCGCUGAAGGAUGGACUCGCGUCCGAUUAGAUAGUUGGUGAGGUAAAGGCUCACCAAGUCGACGAUCGGUAGCCGGACUGAGAGGUUGAACGGCCACAUUGGGACUGAGACACGGCCCAGACUCCUACGGGAGGCAGCAGUGGGGGAUAUUGCACAAUGGGCGAAAGCCUGAUGCAGCAACGCCGCGUGAGGGAAGACGGUUUUCAGAUUGUAAACCUCUGUUCUAAGUGACAAGAAUGACGGUAGCUUAGGAGGAAUCCCCGGCUAACUACGUGCCGCAGCCGCGUAAUACGUAAGGGGCAACCGUUGUCCGGAAUUAGGGGGUGUAGAGGUGCGUAGGCGGCAGGACCAAAUCAGAUGUGAAAUCCGGGGAGCUUAACCCCAGAACUGCAUUGGAAAGCUGUUUUGCUUGAGUGAAGAAAAGCAGGCAGAAAUGCCCGUGUGUAGCGGUAGAGUCGU
rnacentral:rRNA from 1 species